rnacentral:tRNA from 1 species
CCCCUCUUAGUUUAGCGGCUAGAACCCUCGGCUGUAGACCGAGUGAUCCCCGGUUCGAGUCCGGGAGAGGGGA